AGUGACCGCCACCGUUGCCCGGGGAUGGGUCCUUGAGACUUGGCUAAGCAGGCACCCUGUGUGAGCUUGGUCAGAGUCGGGGCUGAGACCAGUCCUGGCCAGGGCAGUUAACAGGAAGGUCUCCGGAGGCCGGGAUUCGCGGAGGGUCCAUCAGGAGGAAGAAACCUCAGACAGAUCUCCGGGGAGACAGCGCGGGAUCCCAGCCUCAGGCGUGCGCGGACAGUGUGCGGGAAGGGAGUGUAUCCUGGUGUAUGACAGCAUAUAGUAGAGACCAGUGUCAAUUAGGGCCUGUGAACUGAGACAGGGUGACUGGCUAAGUCCACAACCCAUUAGAAACCCAGAAAUAAUCAAAUCAUGAGGGAUCAUGGAAAGGAAGCUGAAUUUGCUGAGUUUUGCCACGUGGGCAUUGCAUGCCUAUGUGAUUAACCACCAAUAAAAACCUGGGACAUCAAAAAAUAAAUAAGCUGCUUUAAUUGCCAAGAAUUCACAUGUGGUUGUAUGCAGCAUUACUGGGAGAUUGAAGUGUAUCUGCAUGUGAUUCUACUGUGAUGGACACUUGUAAAUUUGUGCCUGGAGUCUCCUGGAAUUUGCCCUGAGAAUCUUUUUCCUUUGUUGAUAAGAAUCUGCAUCCUUUUGUUUUAAUAAACGAUAAACAUGAGUAUAA